AUCCAGCUGACGUGUCCCAAACAGGACGAAACGCGUGUCCUGGAU
rnacentral:hammerhead_ribozyme from 1 species